UUAUUACGGGAAGGCACAUUUUCUGUAGCUUUGCCCGAAGAGAGAAGCUGUUUUCUCUCAGAGAUGGAACAUGUUAGCUGGUUGCCAUGAUGUCUUCAUUUGUCCAUCGCUGCCCCUCUGUGAGCAGGCAGCCAUCAGGACAGAGAGUGGCAUGCUGGACAGGCCGACUCUGACAAGGAGCAAGCUUUCUCCCACCUGCACCAUGCAAUUCCAGCACAUGUGGGUAACAUGUGCUACGAAGUCAGAGGACCUGCAUUGCAACUGUGGCAAAUUGCUUAAGCUUUUGGAGCCUGAGCUGCUUGGGCUAUAAGACGGGUGAAUGGUACCCACAGUCAGAUGUGUUUCUGGAAGAAAUGACAUCAGCAUGCCUAUCCCUGUCUCUGGCCAAGCCUCCUACUGGCCUAUGGAGGCUUCCCUCGGUGAGCACAAAAGACGUUGCAGGCAAAUCCACCCUCUUCUGUACCAGGCAGAGCUUUGACUCAAAUCCCUAGAAGACUUCUACCAUGGAAAUGGGAGCUGGGCCCUGUGUGAGUGUCAAGAGUCUUUUGCUUUUUUUAUCUUAGGGCUAGAGUUGGGCCAGGCAAUUUGGUUUUUCAUCAGGUUAGAAAACCUGCCCAAGAUGAUAGCAUCCAUGUGUAACAGAGCCCAGGCCCUAAGCCCACAUCUGCUGAUCCCAAAGCCUAGCUCCUUCCUCUCCCUCUCCAUUUUAUACUGAUGGGCAUGGAAUCCAAAGGGACCACUUUGGUGCCUGUCAGAUUACUGAGAACUCAAAAACAAAACAAAACAAAACAAAGACAAAUGGCAACAAGGAAACCCAAAACAACAGCAAAACAGAACAGCUGCAGCUGAUCCUGGAGAAGAUGCCCUGGGGGCUUCCUGGCUUUCCCGCCCUUUGGGGUAGAUCAUGGCAGAUGGGCCACCCUGACUUGGUUUGAUCCUCAGUUAUUGCAGCACCCACACAACUCUGCUCCUCAGUCCCUCACCAAAGACUCACCUUCUGUGGCAGAAACCAGCCACAGUGGGAUGAGACAGGGUGGGGUCCAGCGUGCACCAUUCCUUGCUGCAGGACUCCCUGGUGAAAUAAGGAGAGAGCCAGUGGGGUGUGGCUUAGCGGUGCUGGACCCAUGGGGUGUGACUUAAUGGUGCUGACCCAGUAGGCAUGGCUUAGUGGUGCUGCACCAGUAGGGUGUGGCUUAAUGACACUAGCAGGAGCCCCAUGAUUAUGCACGUGGAGUGGCAGGGUCAGCGAUGAGAAAUUCGGCAAGUUGGCUAGCCCAGCCUCCUUCCCAACAGUCUCCGCCAACACCCAACAUUGACAGCACCAGCUCUCAGGAGAAUGCUCUGGUGGCAGCACCCACAAGCUCUGUGGUCACGGCUUUCCCUGCCUGAUCUCCACGCCACUGCACACCAGCCUGAGAGACAGAGCACGACUCCAUCUCAAAGAAAAAACAAAAAAGAAAAGAAAAUGCAGAUCUCUGGGCCCCACCCAUACCUGGGGACUCAGAAUCACCAGGGCAAGGUCUCAUCCUUAUGCGUCACAUGUGUUUUGAGAUCUCAUUAUCUCCUGGGAGGUAGGUCUGUGAGUUAUGGCUGGCAAAGCCAAUUACCUGCCAAUUACCUCUUGAAAGAGCAACACUGUGCUUGCUGAACUGGAGAAACUGGGGCAGUUGAGCAACAUCUGAGAUCAAGGCAAAACAAAAUGCUUGGUAAACUUCCCCUCAUGAAUGAGUUCUUGGCUGGUACUCCUUAUUUUUUCCAGGGUGGGAUUUCUUCAAAUGAAAUAUUAGCUUUUUGCACAAGGUACACAGGGGAAGGGAGAGUGGAGUUUUGUGGGUCCUGGUAGCACUCUUCUAUCUCACAGUGCUGCCAUGGAAUCCCAACACCCACCGUGGCUCAAGUUUCAGGGCAUCUGGUUGAGUGGGGUCAUUAGCCCUCAUAGAGAGGUUGAGCUUAGGGCUCCAUCUCCAGGUCACUGAAAAUUUAUGAUGUGGACUUGGAUAUCCCCCUCAUUGCUUCAUUAUUGCUCAGGGAUCCUAGUGACAUCUUGAUGAAAAGGCAGGAUUUUAAGUAUGUAUUUUCUCUUGUCCCUACCAUGUGAAACCAUAUGGCCCUCAGCCACCAGGGAUAGAAUUGGAGGAUAAAGCAGGAUUCACUUAUCCAAGUUGGGGUCAAAAAAUGGAAGCUGAGGUAAAGAAUGGAGAGGGUAGCCUCUGUUUUUAGGGACAUCUGCACACAAUGAACUAUUAUUAAAGCAUCAGACUUAUCCUGGUCAGUGCUUCUCUCAGAGGGACACAGGCCACCAGGCUUCCCGUUUCUUACACCUAACCCGACUUGAGGGAACUCUUUUUUUUUAAGAGAGAGAGUUUUGCCCUGUUGCUUAGGCUAGAGUACAAGUGGCACAACUGUGGCUCACUACAGCCUCAAACUCCUGGGCUCGAGUGAUCCUCCUGCCUCAGCCUCCCAAGUAGCUGAGAUUACAGGUGGGAGCCACCGCACCUGGUCUUGGGGCACAUUUUAUUUCCAACUUAAAACAACAUUAUAUGUAUAUGUCACAUAUUAAUAAUAUAUAAUACAUAUAGCAAACAAUGCUAUAUGAACACCCUUAUGGUUGCAUUG
rnacentral:lncRNA from 1 species